rnacentral:rRNA from 1 species
GUGUCAGCAGCCGCGGUAAUACGGAGGGUGCAAGCGUUGUUCGGAAUCAUUGGGCGUAAAGCGCGUGUAGGCGGCUUGGCAAGUCGGUUGUGAAAUCCCGGGGCCCAACCCCGGAACUGCAUUCGAAACUGCCUCGCUAGAGUCCCGGAGAGGAAGGCGGAAUUCCCGGUGUAGAGGUGAAAUUCGUAGAUAUCGGGAGGAACACCAGCGGCGAAGGCGGCCUUCUGGACGGUGACUGACGCUGAGACGCGAAAGCGUGGGGAGCAAACAGGAUUAGAAACCCCCGUAGUCC